AUGUACUCUUGUAUUUGUGUGUUAACCAUGUGUGUGUGUGUGCAGUGGCAGAGAGUGAGACACGUGUUGUUCUGGCGUACGUGGGUUCUGCAAUCUGAUAUUGAAUACUGUAUCCUGCAUCAUCAACACGGAUUCAUCAUGGCCUACAGCACACGCACGCACACACAUACAUGCCAGUCUGGAGCUCCUUCACUCUGGACAAAACCGCUGAAAGUUCUCUGGUUGUCUCUGAUUGUCUCCGGGCAGACGUCAGGAUUCCAGCCAAUCAGAGCACGACAUGUGACCAGUACAACAAUGCUGGCAACAUCACACAUGCCUUCUUGUUCCCACCCUGGGUGUGUGUGUGUGCGUGUGUGUGUGUGUGUGUGUGUGUGUGUGUGUGUCUUACUGUGAAAAUUUCAUCGAUGCAUUUUAAUAUUUUACCUUUUUUUGGACCUGGUAACAUAUUAAUUAGAAUGUCAUAACUGGAUCUUCUCUCUAUGCUUGAUUUCUCCAAUUAUUUAGCACUUUUAAACUCCACCCCUUGAAGCUUACAUGUUUUAACAUCCAAUUGACAACUGAUAAUUAGAAUUAAGUCAUGCACUAAAUAUAUUCUUUUUAGUGCUGUCAAACGAUUAAUCGUGAUUAAUCGCAUCCAAAAUAAAAGUUUUUGUUUACAUAAUAUAUGUGUAUAC
ensembl:lncRNA